rnacentral:tRNA from 1 species
UGGUCAUUGGCGCAAUUGGCAGCGCAACGGCCUCCAAAGCCGAAGGUUGCAGGUUCAAGUCCUGCAUGACCAGCCA